UACGUAGGGUGCGAGCGUUGUCCGGAAUUAUUGGGCGUAAAGAGCUCGUAGGCGGUCUGUCGCGUCGGUCGUGAAAACUCAGGGCUUAACCCUGAGCCUGCUUCCGAUACGGGCAGACUAGAGGUAUGCAGGGGAGAACGGAAUUCCUGGUGUAGCGGUGAAAUGCGCAGAUAUCAGGAGGAACACCGGUGGCGAAGGCGGUUCUCUGGGCAUUACCUGACGCUGAGGAGCGAAAGUGUGGGGAGCGAACAGG
rnacentral:rRNA from 1 species